AAAAAACAGUUGAGUGAACAGCUGGCCACGUUCCUGGAGUUUGUGAGCAUGGAAGAACACCGGAAGGCACACCAUGGAAUCAUGUGAUGAAUAUGGCCAGUUAGAGUGGAGCUGACAUUUGGAAGAAGCACGAUAGGUCAGAGGACAUGAAAAAGUAAGUGUGCUGAAGGAAAAGAAGAAAGUGUCACCCCACACUCUGUGCACAUUAGCUGGGUUCUGCUUUCUAUAUCUGGACAGAGCUAUUUCUGGAGUAUGGUGAAAACCCAGAAGUAUUGUCAGUGGAGACAGCUAAUGUUCGAAUCAAACAGUGAUUGUAACAAUUAUUAUUAUUAAGGGAAA